AACGCACAUUGCGCCCGCCAGCAUUCUGGCGGGCAUGCCUGUCCGAGCGUCAUUUCGACCCUCAGGUCCCCCGGGGGACCUGGUGUUGGGGGCCGGCCGCCCGCGCCGCCCCCGAAAUGCAGUGGCGACCUCGCCGCAGCCUCCCCUGCGCAGUAGCACAAACCUCGCACCGGAGCGCGGAGACGGUCACGCCGUAAAACGCCCCAACUUUCUCAAGAGUUGACCUCGGAUCAGGUAGGAAUACCCGCUGAACUUAA
rnacentral:misc_RNA from 1 species